rnacentral:tRNA from 1 species
UCUAUAAUAGUUUAAAAAAAAUUUUAAGUUGUGGACUUAAAGAUGAAAUGUUUUCUUACAAAA